GCGGGAUUGACCGACUUGUGCUGUAGUUCGGGGCUUCAUCUGACUGUCGGGCCCGAAAGCGGAAAGGAAGAAAGCUCCAAGGGAUGUGGAGUUCUCCUAACACCGGGACACCUGCAAACCAAGAGCCUUCUGUGAGGAAACACGUAGCUCCAGAGCACUGUGGUUCAAGAACAUAGCGAGGUGAACAAGGCCCUGGGUCCCAGCCAUCACUUACACGUGUGUGAUCCUCUUUCCAUGAGAACUGACACUGAAAGUGGAAGCAUCCCUCCACUGCCCUGUAGACUCCAAGGCCUGCACACCAGCAAGUGAACGUCAACACAGGGCGUGGCUCUUCUCAUCCACGUCUCUGACAUAGCUUCUCACAUCACACACACACACAC